UGAUAGCUGUGAAGCGUGAGGUUGCUGCCCUCGGGCAGGUUUUCCGUGGAGCGAAUGUCAAGGAG
rnacentral:ncRNA from 1 species